UAAGCGGAGGAAAAGAAACUAACCAGGAUUGCCCCAGUAACGGCGAGUGAAGCGGCAACAGCCCACACUGAAAAUCGCUUCGGCGAGUUGUACAGUGAAGAGUAGCUCUUGCGGAAGGCGGCCUCUGUAACUUCCUUGGAACAGGAGACCAGAGAGGGUGAUAGUCCCGUGCCAGAGGCUGCUGAUCGAUAGAGCGCGUUCUAAGAGUCGGGUAGUUUGGGAUUGCUGCCCUAAGCGGGAGGUAGACUCCUCCUAAGGCUAAAUAUUAACGAGAGACCGAUAGUGGACAAGUACUGUGAAGGAAAGAUGAAAAGAACUUUGGAAAGAGAGUUAAAAGACUUGAAACCGUUGAGGAGGAAGCAGUGUGCUAGGCAUAGUCAUAGGAUGAGGAGGAGAAGGGAGGCUGAACCUGAGUGGGAAGUCGAAGAUCUCCGAAUCAGCUAUGGCGCCUGGUAGACUGGCCCGUCUUGAAACACGGACCAAAAAGUCUAACCCACCUCAAGGCACUCCGGUGACUCUGCUGCUACGGUUUUUACUGACCCGUCUUGAAACACGGACCAAGGAGUCUAAC
rnacentral:rRNA from 1 species